CAGGAAAUAUUUAAAUCAAAAUGCAAACUUGACUUGAUGUCAUCGAUACGUGGAUAUUCAAACAGAUCUAAAAAAUAUAAGCAAGCGAAAUAUGCCUUUCAUAUUACAAGCUAUGUUCAGGAUAUAGGAUAGGGUCAAAAUAGAUCUUCCGUUUGAUACGAUGGUCGAUAUAUGGCACUGCUGCAUGACGUUAUACGUCGCUACCAUUGCGUUUAACAGGCCAUUGUGCUGCGAACACUCAUGGAGGAUUGGUGAACACAGUAGGCCAGGAGGCUUCAAGCGAAAGCACAAUGCGUGAAUGCUGUGAACGUUUCAAGAAUGAAGAUUAGAGUGUUGAAGACCAGCAAGGAGUUGACAAGAUGUCGGGACACGAAGCGUAAGAAUGCACUGCCACGAUCGGGGAAAACUUUACAUCUAAUAUGUUAUAGAAUUAUAACUUCAGUACUAAAAAUGCAGAAAGAAAUAAAAAAUGGGUCCCUGUGAAUUGAUUCCAGGCCAGUUUGUGUGGUGCAUAUAAGUGUGGUGCAUUCUACGUGCAAUCUGCGGAACUUUAAUCAACAAAGAAACCGUCCGGAAGAUACGGUAGCCAUAAACAAGACAUAGUUCAAUAUUUACCGCCAGCCGGACAGAGAUCAGGCGUGCAGUGUAGAGUCGUUCUGGAAAGCAAUAAAGUUCGGUAGCAAUAUCGGCUAAGUUGGGACUUAAAAGAAUUGUAGUACUUACACGGGACAUCUGUUGCUAUGAGACACUUGCCAAAAAUGAAGAAAUGAAUUAGUUCGCUACCUCAAGUUCCUUAAGAAACUCAUGGACCGUUAGCACGGCAAUCGAAGCACGCAGGUUACUUGAUAACUAUGCGAGACUUCAUCGCAACCUUUAAAUUACCUUUUGCAUCGAGUAAAAGAGUAUUCGAUGUUGGCUUCAAUUCGCUUUUCUUUCAGUAUAGGUUUGUCUGACUACGGGGCUUUCAAUGUCCCAAAAAAGGACAACUCGUAGGCAAGCAUGUCCCAGGGUGUAUUUACCUUAAGAAGCCAUAGAUAGGAAAAGUUACAUAUGGCAAGGAGAAUGUUGAGUAUGUGGCUUUCCAAAGGAUGCCAGAGAGCCGAAACAGAGAGAACGUUGCUCGUCAUCGGUGAUCAGUUUGCGUAGAAACCUGCCGUUGCGGUUGCGUAUUACCUGCUGCUAGGCGAAAUGUCACAUUUCCUUGUUCUCUUCACUGAGCUUACGGCGCUGCCAGGCUUUCUAAACUUGGCGACCGUUGAGCGGCCCUAUCAGCUAUGGAGUUCACACCGUACUCAACGCAAAAAUUUCGAAUCGCUUUGGCUGCGAAAGGCUGCGACCUUAACAUCGAGCUUAACAUCGGCUUACCAUCGAAGAUGUCAAGAAGAAAAAGACCGCUUGACAGAGUAUAUUAAAAAAUCCCCUGGUUAUACCUUGUUGAGUGCUUAAAUGGGCUGAAAAAUUACAUUCGUAAAGCGCAAAUUGCUCUUGUUUCUCUAAAUCAUUAAAUAAAUAAUACGCCA